AAGGAGAAUAAGAUGGCAGGACUGGGAAGGCAGAUGGUGUUGUCCAUCUCUGAAUAAGAGGAUAUGUGGGAUUAUGCAAGAUGGGAGAAUACUGGAGUCUGUCUACCCUUGCCUGGUUGUUUGCUUGUGACAGGAAUCAGACACCAGAGACUUCUGCCAUGUGCUUGGACAAGGCUAUGUCAUAGGAGCCUUGUGAUGCAGUAGUUAAACUGCAAUACUGGAGCCAAAAUUCUGGUCAUGAUCUGGGUUCAAUCCUAGGUAUCUGGCUUGAGGUUUACUCAGCCUUCCAUCCUUCUAAGUUAAAUGAGAAUUGCAAAAAGCCACGGACAGGGCCGAUCUUGAAUCCUGGAAGAAAUUUGGUUGAUCUCUAUUAAGAAUGUGGCAUUUUCCACCAUAAAGGAUUUCAGGAAUAGAAGACCCAGUGUGCCAGGCCAGAAGAUAACUUCUUGGCUGCCAGCUAAUUGUUCUGGCAGAUUUUUGGAAGCAACACGUUCUUGCUAUGAAGAGUUAAGGUGAAAAGAAGUGAUUCUUGUCCAUAAGCUCCUGAUGGAGCUGUGGAAAUAGUAAACAAGACACUGACCUUGCAGCAAGGAACCCGUGGAAGUGAAUCCCGUUUCUACCUUAAAGGAAAGCAAGCAGGCAAAACGUUGGUUAACGGAGCACAGUCAAGCAAGAUACCGGUAGAUGUGAAUAAACUGAGGAAAAGGAAUGGGCAGAAUGCUGAUUAAUAUUCAUAACAAGAAAGGUGACAAGAAGCCAAAUCAUCCGAUAGUAGAUGAGAAACUACUUUUAAUUAUGGUACCGUUUGGCUCAGCAUCUUACAUGCUUGUUGAAAACUAUGCUGGGCUUUGCAAAAGAUCCAAGAGUUAAAUUCAAAGUGAAGACUUC